GCCCGACUGGCUCACUUGGUGGAACGUGUGACUCUUGAUCUCAGGGUCGUGGGUUCAAGUCCCAUGUUGGUUG
rnacentral:tRNA from 1 species